CAAGAUCAGUAAGACUCAGGCCUUACCUUCAGUGAGUUUAGAGUCAAUGGCUAUUAUGCAAGACAGGACUUGGCCCGUUUAGUUGUAGGUCUAUAAGCAGUGUAUCGGGGAAGCGUGCUGAAGAGGAGAUGGGAUGGAGACGGAUUCAUGGGGGAGGCGGCAGCUAAAGGAGUCUCGAAGGAGCGCUGAGAAUGAAGAAUAUUCCAAGGCAGAGGGACUGGUGAGCAGAUGCUCAGAGGUUGGAAAACAGGGGGUUUGUUUAGAAACCAGUGCUUCAGGUGUUUUGGCAGGAGGUUUUACACACACGAAGGAGAGUUAAGGAUGAUAAUGUCGGAAAGCUGGGUUGGGGCCUUUGUCAGGAAGGUUCCCAGGAUUAUUUAAAAACCUUGAAAGCUCUGGUUUGGAAUAUUUAACAUUUUCAUAUUUUAUUUGAGAAUAAAAAUGUGUUCUGAGCUCACAGAGAUGCAGAGUUCCGGAAUGCUGUCUCUAGCUGCCAAGAAAGGAAAUAUCGCCUCGCAGAAGAGACUAGUGGAGAUGUGGGGCAGUUCUUCCUGCGUCUUUGUCCAGCGCCGGUGUGGCUGAAGGCUCUUGGAGAUAUUCCAUUUCCUGCUGAAAACUUUGAGUGUUGGAACCUGCCUUACUCAUCCUUGACUAUGUGGAUAUCCACUUUCCUCAAAAUCCAAGCCUAAGAGAGAAAGUGCCAGACUUGCUCUUCCUGCAGCCUCCAUGAGUCAGCCUCAUUGGGCCUACUUUCCUCUUUGGAGACAUUUUACUUCUGUAGGCGGACUUUCUCUACUCACAGACAAGGCUAUUAUUGGCGUCUACCAAAGGCCACCAGAUGAGAGUGGUUGGAGAUGGAGAGAUGCAGAAAAAGGGAAGAACUGGAUGUCAGUUAUUCUUUCUUAUGCUCAUCUCUCUCCUCUUCUUUAAUCUCCAGUUGGCACUUGAAGGAGAUAAUUGUGUAUAUCAAUCUGCAAAUAUAGAGGAAAUCUCUCCAUUUGGAAAUAUAUCACAUCACACAGGAAAGGCUUAUCACCUCCACCGCCAUUUGAUGCUACCGUCUGGAGGCCAAGGCUUUGCCGUCUUUAAGGACAAAUAACCAAAGAUGCUGUUGAGAAAAGUUCCACUGGAUUCAUGCUGCACCUUAUAGAAUGCAAAAAAGGCUUGACUCUG
rnacentral:lncRNA from 1 species